GCAAGUCUGGUGCCAGUAGCCGCGGUAAUUCCAGCUCCAAUAGCGUAUAUUAAAGUUGUUGCAGUUAAAAAGCUCGUAGUUGAACCUCGGGAUCAAUGGAUCGGUCAUGCCAUCGGUAUGUACUGGUCUCAUUGGUUCUCACCUUCUAAGGAACCACGAUGUCAUUCAGUUGAUGUUGUGGGGAAUUAGGACUGUUACCUUGAAAAAAUUAGAGUGUUUAAAGCAGGCUAACGCUUGAAUACAUUAGCAUGGAAUAAUGAAAUAGGACAUCGCAUUCUAUUUUGUUGGUUUCUAGGAUCGAUGUAAUGAUUAAUAGGGAUAGUUGGGGGCAUUAGUAUUCAAUUGUCAGAGGUGAAAUUCUUGGAUUUAUUGAAGACUAACUACUGCGAAAGCAUUUGCCAAGGAUGUUUUCAUUAAUCAAGAACGAAAGUUAGGGGAUCGAAGACGAUCAGAUACCGUCGUAGUCUUAACCAUAAACUAUGCCGACUAGGGAUCGGAUGAUGUUGAUUUUUUAAUGACUCAUUCGGCGCCUUACGGGAAAC
rnacentral:rRNA from 1 species